rnacentral:rRNA from 1 species
UACGAAGGGGGCUAGCGUUGUUCGGAAUCACUGGGCGUAAAGGGCGCGUAGGCGGCCGUUCAAGUCGGGGGUGAAAGCCUGUGGCUCAACCACAGAAUUGCCUUCGAUACUGGACGGCUCGAGACCGGAAGAGGUCAGUGGAACUGCGAGUGUAGAGGUGAAAUUCGUAGAUAUUCGCAAGAACACCAGUGGCGAAGGCGGCUGACUGGUCCGGUUCUGACGCUGAGGUGCGAAAGCGUGGGGAGCAAACAGGG